AGAAGAUGCAAGCGUUGUUCGGAAUUACUGGGCGUAAAGCGCGUGUAGGUGGUCGAGUAAGUCGAAUGUGAAAGCCCCGGGCUCAACCCGGGAAGUGCAUCCGAAACUGCUCGACUAGAGUCCCGGAGAGGAAGGCAGAAUUCCCAAUGUAGGGGUGAAAUCCGUAGAUAUUGGGAGGAAUACCGGUGGCGAAGGCGGCCUUCUGGACGGUGACUGACACUCAGACGCGAAAGCGUGGGGAGCAAACAGGAUUAGAUACCCCGGUAGUCCACGCUGUAAACGAUGAGAGCUAGUUGUCGGCACGCAUGCGUGUCGGUGACGCAGCUAACGCAUUAAGCUCCCCGCCUGGGGAGUACGGCCGCAAGGCUA
rnacentral:rRNA from 1 species